rnacentral:rRNA from 1 species
GACGAUUAGAGUUUGAUCCUGGCUCAGAUUGAACGCUGGCGGCAGGCUUAACACAUGCAAGUCGAGCGGAGAGAGGUAGCUUGCUACUGAUCUUAGCGGCGGACGGGUGAGUAAUGCUUAGGAAUCUGCCUAUUAGUGGGGGACAACAUUUCGAAAGGAAUGCUAAUACCGCAUACGUCCUACGGGAGAAAGCAGGGGAUCUUCGGACCUUGCGCUAAUAGAUGAGCCUAAGUCGGAUUAGCUAGUUGGUGGGGUAAAGGCCUACCAAGGCGACGAUCUGUAGCGGGUCUGAGAGGAUGAUCCGCCACACUGGGACUGAGACACGGCCCAGACUCCUACGGGAGGCAGCAGUGGGGAAUAUUGGACAAUGGGCGCAAGCCUGAUCCAGCCAUGCCGCGUGUGUGAAGAAGGCCUUAUGGUUGUAAAGCACUUUAAGCGAGGAGGAGGCUACUUUAGUUAAUACCUAGAGAUAGUGGACGUUACUCGCAGAAUAAGCACCGGCUAACUCUGUGCCAGCAGCCGCGGUAAUACAGAGGGUGCAAGCGUUAAUCGGAUUUACUGGGCGUAAAGCGCGCGUAGGCGGCUAAUUAAGUCAAAUGUGAAAUCCCCGAGCUUAACUUGGGAAUUGCAUUCGAUACUGGUUAGCUAGAGUGUGGGAGAGGAUGGUAGAAUUCCAGGUGUAGCGGUGAAAUGCGUAGAGAUCUGGAGGAAUACCGAUGGCGAAGGCAGCCAUCUGGCCUAACACUGACGCUGAGGUGCGAAAGCAUGG